GAUGAACGCUGGCGGCGUGCCUAAUACAUGCAAGUCGAGCGAACGGACGAGAAGCUUGCUUCUCUGAUGUUAGCGGCGGACGGGUGAGUAACACGUGGAUAACCUACCUAUAAGACUGGGAUAACUUCGGGACACCGGAGCUAAUACCGGAUAAUAUUUUGAACCGCAUGAUUCAAAAGUGAAAGACGGUCUUGCUGUCACUUAUAGAUGGAUCCGCGCUGCAUUAGCUAGUUGGUAAGGUAACGGCUUACCAAGGCAACGAUGCAUAGCCGACCUGAGAGGGGGAUCGGCCACACGGGAACUUGGACACGGUCCAGACUCCUGCGGGAGGCAGCAGUAGGGAAUCUUCCGCAAUGGGCGAAAGCCUGACGGAGCAACGCCGCGUGAGUGAUGAAGGUCUUCGGAGCGUAAAACUCUGUUAUUAGGGAAGAACAUAUGUGUAAGUAACUGUGCACAGCUUGACGGUACCUAAUCAGAAAGCCACGGCUAACUACGUG
rnacentral:rRNA from 1 species